CAGUGUCCAUUGACAAAUUUGUUUUCCUCGCGAUUACCUCCUGUCUUUGGAGGUCAUCUCAUCCUUUUCCCUUACAGGAAAAAAAGAAAAAAAAGAAAGAAAGAAAGGAAGAAAAAAAAACACAGGAAAAAGAGAUUACCAGUGAUAUCCUGUAAAACUGAAAUAAAGCCUUUUUCAGUGCUACAUAAUCCAAGGAAAAAUAUCAUUCCUGCUUUUGAAAUUCCUGGGGAAAAGUGCAGAGCGCUUCACCUGGAGAGCAGCAAACUGUCACCAUCACAUGUGGAGAGCCACCCUGCUGGGAAGUAGCUCUAAGAAAACAAACCUGAUACCCUUGAGGACAAUAUGCUGAACACAAGCCAGCAGAGCGCUCUAGCUGCAGUGAAGGCAAAUGGUAACCUGCGCUGCAUUAAGAAAAGUAUUGCCUGCAGGUUGAGGGAGGUGAUCCUUCUGCUUUACUCACUGGUGAGGCCACACAUGGAGUAUUGUGUCCAGUUCUGGGCUCCCCAUUAUAUGAGAAACAUGAGGUACUGGAGAGAGUCCAAGGCCACCAAGAUGAUGAAGGGACUGGAGCACAUCUCCUAUAAAGGAAGGCCCAGAAAACUGGAACUACUUUGCCUAGAGAAGAGAAGGCUCAGAGGAAUAUUAUCAAUGUAUUUCAAGCAUUAACAGCACUAACUGGUCUACAAAUGAUAAUAGUCUUUGUGUGAUAGAUACACUUGAAUGGAACUUUGAUUAUUAAAAUAACUGAUAUCAACUGACUGCACUGAGAUAGUGUAAGGGGGAGAGAGCGAGGCACUCAUAAAGAGACAAGAGAUGUCUUCUGAUCUGUCCUUGAUAAAAAUUUAUAAAUAUUUGUAUAAGGAAUAAAAGUAAUUGGAAGAGAAACAUGCAUGCCUCAUGCUGACAAAAAUAUGUUUGAACCUAACAGAUUGGAGAAAUUGUUCAAGAAUUGUUUAUUCUCAUGGAAUGAUUGCCCUGUAAAUGCUGCCAAGGACAGUAUCAGCUUGAAUAACUAUCUAUGUAAUGACAUUCACAUAAGUUACAGUGACUUCACUUCUAAAAUAAAGUUGAAAACCACAGUGUAUUAAAGGACACUUUUUUUUUUUUUUUUUUGCCUGUUAAAUGAAGGAAUGAAAUGUGGCAUUAAAAGCUGAGUGGUAAGUACAGUGGAUUCACAUUGUUUCUUAAAAGCAUGUUUUUUGCUUCCAGCUAUGGGAAUGAAGUUUCUCAGAGUUCAAAAAAUGUUGCCUGUUUAUAUAUUUAUGUUUCUAUUUCACUGUGAAGAAGAGAAAAGAGACCUGUACAAUAAAUGCUGUUUUUGGCAUAGGGUUUUCUACACAGUUGCUGUUGAUUUUUAGGAGAAUAAUAUUUCCUUGUACGUGUCAAUCUAUUUUUUUUUCUUAUAAGUAUGUCCUAUGUCCAUAAGUAGAGUGGUUUAAAAGAAACUUGCAAUAACCCAUGGUGCAAAACUGCAAUGUAAAAUUAUUUGCUAUCAAAAGUGGAUUUAAUCUUUAGUGUCAUCAAAUUCUCAUACUAAAACUUUUGCAAAAAAAUUUAGUUUAUCUUGUACUUUUGAAGUUUAAAAUUAAAAUAUCCAGUUCUAGUCCUCUUCACAAAUAAAGCUGAGUGGAAGUUGAUGAGUUUGUUAACUUGUGGAAUAAAACAAAAUGGCUGGAAUUCCACCUCUCAUAUGUUGUAAAUACUGGAAAGUAAUGUAUACUUGCACUGUCUCAAGUCAGUUAUUUUUAGCAGGGAGCAUGUUAUUCUCUCAUGUUUAUUCAUUUCAAUUGUUAGAACUCUUAUUCUCUACUGAAAUAUCGUACUCUGUUGUGAUAAACUCUAAUUAUCUUGUCCUCAGUGUCUGUCUCAGAUGGAAAACCUAACUGAAAUGUUUUGGUCAAUUCAGCAUAAGGAAAAUGAACCAUAUUACAAAACAUUCAAAUACCAUGUAAAGUGGGGAAUGAACAGAGACAUGCACAGCAAGAUCAGGUUGCACAGGACCUCAUCCACCCUUGUCUUUAAAGUUUCUAGGAAUGGGGCAUCCACCACCAUCACUGGGUAAUCCAUUUCAGUGCCUCACCACCCUCACUGUGAAAGGUUUUUUCCUUAUAUUCAACUUAAAUGUACCCUCCUUAAGCUUGAAUCCAUUUCCUCUUGUUCUAUCACCACAGAUCCUGCUAAAGAAUCUGUGUCCCCUUUUUUCCCAUGGCUCCCCUUUACAUAUUGAAAGGCCACUAUCAGGUCACCUCAGAGCUUUCUCUUCUCCAGGCUGAACAACCCCAGCUCUCUCAGCCUGCCCUCAUAGCACAGGUGUUCUAUCCCUUGGAUCACUUUUGUGGCCCCUCUUAAGGAUGCAUUCCAGCAGGUCCAUGUCUCUCCUGUACCAAGGACUCCACAUUUGGACACGAUACUCCAGGUGAGGCCAGGUGCAGAGCAGAGGGGCAGGAUCACCUCCCUCAAUCUGCUGUCCACACUGCUUGAUACAGCCCAGGAUAUGGUUGGCUAUGUGGGCCGUGAGGGCACAUUGCUGGAUCAUGUCCAGCUUGCCAUCUACCAGUACCUCCAAGUCCUUUUCAGCAGGUCUGUGCUCCAUUCUUACAUCCCCUAGCUUGUACUGUUAGCAGGGGUUGCCACGACCCAGGUGCAAGACCUUACACUUAGAUUUGAUAAAUGCCACUCCCUAGGGGUGGUAUGCCAUCCUGGACUUUCCUUUUCUGGUUAAGCUACUUGUAGCUUUUCUUGCUCUUGGCAUCCCUUGCCAAGCUUAGUUCAAGCUGGGCCUUGACUUUCCUGACCCGAUCCCUAAAAAGCCUAACAGCUUCUUUAUACUCUUCCCACAAUACCCAUUCCUGAUUCCACUGCCUGUGCAUUUUCUUCUUGCUCUUCAGUUUGACCAGCAGGUCCUUAUUCAGCUGUGCUGGUCAGCCGCGCUCCAGUCGUGGGAAUCAUUCCAUCAGGUUUCAGUGACGGUAUAGAAUUAGUAAGGAUCAGAAAGAAAAUAUACAUAUACAUGUAUAUAUUUUUGAGAUUUUUUUCAGUGCAAUAUAUUAAUAAUAUAGUGAUGACGGAUUAAACAUAUAGAAUCAUAGAAUCACAGAAUGGUCUGGG